rnacentral:rRNA from 1 species
UACGAAGGGUGCAAGCGUUAAUCGGAAUUACUGGGCGUAAAGGGUGCGUAGGCGGUUCGUUAAGUCUGUCGUGAAAUCCCCGGGCUCAACCUGGGAAUGGCGAUGGAUACUGGCGAGCUAGAGUGUGUCAGAGGAUGGUGGAAUUCCCGGUGUAGCGGUGAAAUGCGUAGAGAUCGGGAGGAACAUCAGUGGCGAAGGCGGCCAUCUGGGACAACACUGACGCUGAGGCGCGAAAGCCAGGGGAGCAAACGGG